GGCAGUGUGGCAUAGUGGUUUGAGUGUUAAACUAUGACUCUGAAGACCAGGGUUUGAAUCCCAGCUUGGCUA